UACGAAGGGGGCUAGCGUUGUUCGGAAUUACUGGGCGUAAAGCGCGCGCAGGCGGCUAUCCAAGUCAGUGGUGAAAGCCCGGAGCUCAACUCCGGAACUGCCAUUGAAACUGUUUAGCUUGAGGAUGAGAGAGGUGAGUGGAAUUCCCAGUGUAGAGGUGAAAUUCGUAGAUAUUCGGAAGAACACCAGUGGCGAAGGCGACUCACUGGACACGUAUUGACGCUGAGGUGCGAAAGCGUGGGGAGCAAACAGG
rnacentral:rRNA from 1 species